GGAGGAGUGACCGAGAGGCCGAAGGUGCUCGCCUGCUAAGUGAGUAUGGGCCACAAGCCCAUCUAGGGUUCGAAUCCCUACUCCUCCGCCA
rnacentral:tRNA from 1 species